AUGUAUCAGGAUGAUGUUAGAAAGUUGUUGAUUAAUGAAAAGAAGAAUCAAAAUGGUGUGUUUUCCGAUACUGAAUUAAUAGAUUUACAGAAUCAAAUUGCAAAUUGCACAAUGAAGUUUGAUGAGGAUAAUCUAUUUAAAGUAACUCCUAACAUAGUAAAGUUCUUGAUUAAUAAAGUUCAGCCUAACGCUAAGCAAUAUCUAAAGGGUUGCCUACCAAGUAGCUUACCUAUGCUUAAGAUGUUUGGUAUCUAUACGCUUGAGGCUAUCAUGAUUCAUGUACUAGGCUUGGUAUUCAAUACUCUUCAGGAAUCAUCCGCAGUUAAGGCAGCUAGAUUUAUAGAUCAACUUAAUUCAACUGUAUGA
rnacentral:rRNA from 1 species